UGCUAAAUGACUAUAAUGUAAAUGUAAAAUAUGGAAGGUUUCAGGACACUGAUGUAUCUGAAUAUGUUGAAAAAAUAAACUGCAACUAUUUUCACUACCAAAGAAUAGCAGUGUGAUUUUAAUAUGAUUUGACUCUUUGCAGGCUGUCAGGCUGUCUAGUCACAGAGGAAGGCUGUGCUUCUCUGGUCUCAGCUCUGAGGUCAAACCCCUCACACCUGAGAGAGCUGGACCUGAGCUACAAUCACCCAGGAGACUCAGGAGUCAAACUGCUCUCUGCUAGACUGGAAGAUCCACACUGCAGACUGGGGAAACUCAAUGUGGAACAUGGUGGAGAGAACACAAUGAAACCUGGGCUUAGAAAAUAUGUCUGUGAUCUCACACUGGACCUAAACACUGUAGACUGUCUCCUCUCUCUGUCUGAGGAGAACAGAAAGGUGACAUGGAGGAGAGAGAAGCAGCCGUAUCCUGAUCACCCAGAGAGAUUUGAGGGCUGUGGACAAUUGCUGUGUAGAGAGCGUCUGACUGGGCGCUGUUACUGGGAGGUAGAGUGGAGUGGGAGAGGGGCUGAUAUAGGAGUGACAUAUAAAGGAAUCAACAGGAGAGGAGAGGUUAUUGACUGUGGUCUUGGAUCCAAUGACAAGUCCUGGAGUCUGUUCUGCUCUGAUAACAGUUACUCUGCCAGGCACAAUAAUAAUUCCACUACCAUAGACGUCCCCUCCUCCAGCUCCCACAGAGUAGGAGUGUAUCUGGACUGGCCAGCCGGCACUCUGUCCUUCUAUAGAGCCUCCUCUGACACACUGACUCACCACCACAUUCACUGAGCCCCUCUAUCCAGGGUUUGGGGUUGAUUACGAUGACUCCUCAGUGUCCCUGAAAUAAUAACUGGA